CUGACUGCAACUUCGUCUUCUGCAGAACUUGUCUCACAGAAUUAUCCUAAAAGAUACCCCAAUUCGUCAAUUUAUUAUUGGCUUAUUUCCACCAGUGAUAAAACAGCUAAGAUAUCUCUAACGGUAACAGAUUGUAUGAUAGAAUAUGAUGAUGCUUGUCAACAUGAUUUCGUUAAAGUGUACGAUGGACCGAACGACAGCUUUUUACGUAUUGGCGUAUUCUGUGGUAACACUCAACCAUCCUUUCAUUCCACGAAGAAUACCAUAUUUAUAAAAUUUAAAACAGAUUCGUCCAAACAAUAUCGUGGAUUUAAGAUUGAAUAUAAAAGUAUUUCAUCAGAAGACGGCGAAAUAAAUUUCUCCACCAAAGCUCUAGUGUGUACCGUCAUGGGAUUGCUGUGUACAUUUCUCUUAUUUAUACUCGGGAACUAUUUUCUCAGAACUGCUCGCAAAAGUGGUCGUGGGCCUGCCUCCAGGUUGAGAGCGGCGUCCGUCGUUUACAGCAUUACCAACACGGGACAGACGAUUGUUUCUAUUGAAAACGGAACACGGAUACAAAGAAGUUCAUCUGGGCAUAUAGUACGUGAUGCUGACGGAGACAACGCGGAAGAACAAUCUUUACCACAAGGCAUUACGAACUUUUCAUUACCACAAAAUAUAUCCAAUGUAGGCGGAUCCGCUGAAGGAUUUUCAAUGGUGCUCAAUGUUCAAGGACUACGAUUAACACCCCCUUCUUAUGAAUCUGUGGAACAAACUGACAGAGAAAUCGCCAAUAAAUUUCUAUCCGAUCCUCCACCAGCGUAUGACAGUUUGGUUAGUGAUGUAAAUUAGAGUUGAUUGGUGAUUGUACUGAGCAAUGGUGAACUAUUAACCCUUAACCAGUGCGGAGAUAAGGCUAGGGGUGUGUCUAAGAAAAUAACGAGCGCUGUGGAAUCUUAUAAUAUUCAUAUAAGGUGAUAGAUCAUGGAAGGGUGCACACUCCUGCGAUCCAACCCAAAGUCGUGACAAUACCAAUUACUCACCCAUCGUGCUCUUGAAAUACCCACAUCCAUUAUCCAAUCAAUGGGAAUUCAACAUUAGAGUACCGUGGGGUUCCGAAUAAUUAUUAAAAAGCUUUCGUUGUUUCAUUACUAGCUUUCGCAAAAGUGGAGGGACUGAAAGUAGGCAGACAGUGAAUCACACAGUGUUUUGUUUUAUUCUAAGAUUUAUUGUGAACAGAAAGGAGCGGUGUUAGUCAAUUUAUAAAUACUAAAUACGCAAAUAAAUAUGUCCUCUUAUAUUGAUUAUUAUAAACACCAUACAUUAACAUCGAUCAGGAUGUAACAUUUGGCUGUUUAAUGGAUGAAAACAUCGAAUAAAACGUUUUAUAAUAAGGACUUUUACUGUAUACAGUUUGACUGCUUUUUAACACAAGUACGAUAGUACUAUAAUGGACUAUCAACCGUUAUCGCAUCCAUCUUUGAAUUGGGACGUCAUAUCAAAGAUUGAAGCCUCUGGACCAAACUAGAUGUUUUGUACCUGACAUUCUAGUUUUUGUGCUGCGUGUAUAACAUGACUGAGCUAUGCUAUUUAAAUGCCAGAUCUGGUCAUUCUAUAGGGAAUGUAGUGGAGUAUUCUCCAGUCGGAGGUAUUGGUGUUUGUGAACUUUAAGUCAACAAACUUUAUUCAUUGUUGUAACAGAACUAACAGAUUGUGCAUUUUACCAAGAAGCAUAAAAUAAGUUUUGUGGGAGAUGCAGUGUUGUUUUGUACAUAAUAAUGACUAACGAUAUUCCAUUUUCUGAUGUGAUUAAACAUCUUUAUCCAAAUAAAUCAUUAUAGGACAGAUCAAGAAAAGGGCUUUGACGUACACUCGAUAAAAUCUACAUGUAGGUCAGUUUUGGACUAAAUUAAUAUUGGGCAUGUUAUAGAUUUUUAUUUGUUGUGAAUGCAUUGUGUGUUUGUGUAAAAAAAAGGUGACCUAUUAUAUGGUCGUUUUUUGAUAUGGCACCGGUAUCUUCGUGCAAAACUAACGAUAAAGACGUUUUAUUUGUAUAGUGAAACAUAUUUACAUUAUCUUUGAUGCAUUGGUCUUAUAGUACGGUGAAUACCAGCUCAUUUUAGUUUGAUCACUGAUGUGACCAGGGCCUCAAUACACUGUACAUCAUUGAAGAAAUUAAAUGGGGUUUAACGUCCUAUUUAUCUGAACCGAUUGGGCUUUCUGCGACGGUAAUUGCGCCGUUCAUGUUUUUUUUUCAUAUGAGUAAAAGGACUCGUUAUAGUUCAGUCUCAGUCGAGGCCAGGCUAUCUGUACGCAAAUAAUGGGCUAUAUCUUGGGUUUUUUUUUUAAAAAAAAGAAACACUAACUGUGCUUUAUAUUCUUAUAUAUAUGUUAUUUAUUGUUUCCCGAGGUCAUCUGACGCGACAUUAACCCAAUAUUUCAUAAAUGCAGUCAUGGUGUGGUUUAUAGUAUUUUGUUUUACUUUUUGAUACAUAUUUCUUAAUAAAUCUUUUUACAUAUGAAUAGAUCAUUUCAUUCUUAGUAGCAUACUAGCAUGUUGUUAGUACAUAAUCUCUGUCCACGUUAUCCAGUAGCUUUACCUCCCAACAAAAGUAUAAACACGAAACGAAAUAGAGAUCUUUAU